rnacentral:rRNA from 1 species
AUUAAACGCUGGCGGCAUGCCUUACACAUGCAAGUCGAACGGUAGCGCGGGGCAACCUGGCGACGAGUGGCGAACGGGUGAGUAAAGCAUCGGAACGUGCCCUGGAAUGGGGGAUAACGUAGCGAAAGUUACGCUAAUACCGCAUAUUCUGUGAGCAGGAAAGCAGGGGAUCGCAAGACCUUGCGUUCUGGGAGCGGCCGAUGUCGGAUUAGCUAGUUGGUGGGGUAAAAGCCUACCAAGGCGACGAUCCGUAGCGGGUCUGAGAGGAUGAUCCGCCACACUGGGACUGAGACACGGCCCAGACUCCUACGGGAGGCAGCAGUGGGGAAUAUUGGACAAUGGGCGAAAGCCUGAUCCAGCCAUGCCGCGUGAGUGAUGAAGGCCUUAGGGUUGUAAAGCUCUUUUGUUCCGGGAAGAUAAUGACGGUACCGGAAGAAUAAAGCCCCGGCUAACUUCGUGCCAGCAGCCGCGGU